GGCCGGUUGGCCCAAUGGCAAGGCGUCUGACUACGACCACUCCUCCACAUUCGAACUGAAUCUGGAGGCUCUAGUCUGCUAUCAGGAGAUUCUGGGUUCGACCCCCAGGCUGGUCA